GGUAAAGGGACUGAUCUUUCUGAUGGCAGAGCUGGCCUAAAUGCAUGUCAAAUUGCAGAUGAAGAAAUGUUCAGCAGUAGAAAAUUAAUAUUGGUUGUUUUGAACUCUCAGGCAUUCUGUUUUAAGAAGGAAGUUGUUAAAAUUGUUAUGAAGCAGAAGAUAAUUUUGUUGAAUGAGACUAGACACCUUUGGCUAUGGACUAGUUGAUAGACCUAAGCUGCACAUGCCAAAACUCUGUUCAAAACACAGGCUACAUUGUUUAUCAAUCCCAUUGUUUUGUAAUGGAAAAAAAGAGUAUGUGUUUUAGGGGGGAAAAUAGCAUCCUGGCUGGUGUUAAAGACUGACCUUCUGAAUCACAUUCUUUAAGAGUCUCUAUUAACUUUGCAUUUAAAUAUUUUGUUUCCAUGGUCUGUUGUCUUAGCACUGCCUAAAAUUAUUUAAUUGUGAAAAGUAGUAGUAUAUAUAAUUGUAAUCCCUGCCAUGCUUGUGGUCUUCUUACUGUAUUUGUUCUAAAUAAUAUAUUGAGAAACAGAGAGAGGGAUUUACCAUUUCCUGAAGAACCAAAAAACGUGUUAUAAUAUUAUAGUAAUUGUUUCUUGUUAGUCUAUAUAUUGUAAUUCAUAAUGUCUAGGACACCUGAAAUGUUAGCUUCCAUUUUAAACAAGGGUAAAACAUGCUUAGAAAUGGUAUUUGAAGUGAUACUGUUACUUGUGCAAAUAUUCUUGGUGUCAUUUAUCUUUUGACAUUCUCGUUUCUUACUUCACCAGUGCUAGCAGUGUGAUCAGACCUCUACAGCAUAUAGACAUAAUGAUUUCUGGAGUUCUAACAAAAUUGCAUAGAUGAUGCCAGAAGGUGGGAUAAUAUAUGGGUUUUCAGGAAGCUGGAUUUUCAUAAUGACAGACAGAAAUAGUCCUCAUAAUCUUCCUGAUAGGGACAAGUGUGUAUUUUUGAACAACAAUAACAAAGUUACAUGAAGCUAAGACUUUUGCCAAAAUUUUACUGUAUUUCUGCUUCCCAUCUCCUUGCCUCUUCUUCCAUCCCCCACAGACCAUACUCUAACACAGGUAAAAGAACUGACAAGCAAGGCAGUUAAAUUCUGGAGACAGAGGAAAGGAAAAUGCAUACUGGCAGGCAUGUUGGAAGAACUACAGCAAUGGAGUUUGAAGGAGAAAAAUGAAUGGGCACAUAAGUGCAGCUGUGUUGGAGUACAGAAAUGAGCACAAGAGAAGGUUGGCAAGCAGAAUCAGAUAAGUGGAUCAGAAAGUUAAGAAAAUAAAAAGCAGAUAUGGAGGCAGGGAAUGGAAUUAUUUAGGAC